GUUAAACAUUAGUUCCCAUACAAUCACUGAAGUUAAGCAACAUCAAGCCUGAUCAGUACUUAGAUGAGUAACCACUUGGGUAUACUAGGUGCUGUAAG